rnacentral:siRNA from 1 species
UCAAUGUUCUAUGUGCCAUCG